rnacentral:tRNA from 1 species
UGCGACGUAGAGGAGAGGUCGUCCUCGUCGGGCUCAUAUCCCGAAAAUCAACGGUUCGAAUCCGUUCGUCGCAUCCA